GGCCAGCAUCAGUUUUGGUGGUAAGAUAAUGACAGUUGAACGUGGCUCCUCGGAGUGUUAUAGCUUCUGUUGAUAUUACUACCGGGACUNAGGUCUNCGCUUUUGCCUNGGAUGCUGGNGUNAU
rnacentral:rRNA from 1 species